GUGGGGAAUAUUGGACAAUGGGGGGAACCCUGAUCCAGCCAUGCCGCGUGUGUGAAGAAGGCCUUUUGGUUGUAAAGCACUUUAAGCGAGGAGGAGGCUACCGAGAUUAAUACUCUUGGAUAGUGGACGUUACUCGCAGAAUAAGCACCGGCUAACUCUGUGCCAGCAGCCGCGGUAAUACAGAGGGUGCAAGCGUUAAUCGGAUUUACUGGGCGUAAAGCGCGCGUAGGUGGCCAAUUAAGUCAAAUGUGAAAUCCCCGAGCUUAACUUGGGAAUUGCAUUCGAUACUGGUUGACUAGAGUAUGGGAGAGGAUGGUAGAAUUCCAGGUGUAGCGGUGAAAUGCGUAGAGAUCUGGAGGAAUACCGAUGGCGAAGGCAGCCAUCUGGCCUAAUACUGACACUGAGGUGCGAAAGCAUGGGGAGCAAACAGGAUUAGAUACCCCAGUAGUCC
rnacentral:rRNA from 1 species